rnacentral:rRNA from 1 species
CCUACGGGAGACUGCAGUGGGGAAUAUUGCACAAUGGGCGAAAGCCUGAUGCAGCAACGCCGCGUGAGGGAUGAAGGCCUUCGGGUUAUAAAGCUCUGUCCUCAAGGAAGCGAAUGACGGCACGUGAGGAGGAAGCCCCGGCGAACUACGUGCCAGCAGCCGUGGCAAUACGGAGGGGGCUAGCGUAAUCCGGAAUUACUGGGCGUAAGGGGUGUGUAGGUGGGUUCUUAAGUCAGCGGUAAAAGGCUGCGGCUCAACCGUAGUCAGCCGUUGAAAAGGGGAAUCUUGAGUGCAGGAGAGGAAAGUGGAAUUCGUAGUGUAGCGGUGAAAUGCGUAGAUAUUAGGAAGAACUCCAGUUGCGAAGGCGGCACUCUGGAGUGUAACUGACGCUGAGGCACGAAAGCGUGGGGAGCGAACAGGAUUAGAUACCCUAGUAGUC